UACGGAGGGUGCGAGCGUUGUCCGGAAUUAUUGGGCGUAAAGAGCUCGUAGGCGGUCUGUCGCGUCGGCUGUGAAAACUCAGGGCUCAACCCUGAGCCUGCAGUCGAUACGGGCAGACUAGAGUUCGGUAGGGGAGACUGGAAUUCCUGGUGUAGCGGUGAAAUGCGCAGAUAUCAGGAGGAACACCGGUGGCGAAGGCGGGUCUCUGGGCCGAAACUGACGCUGAGGAGCGAAAGCGUGGGGAGCGAACAGG
rnacentral:rRNA from 1 species